rnacentral:rRNA from 1 species
CAAUAGCGUAUAUUAAAGUUGUUGCAGUUAAAAAGCUCGUAGUUGGAUCUCGGGUCCAGGCUGGCGGUUCCGCUCGUGCGGACACUGCUCGUCCUGACCUACCAGCCGGUUUUCCCUUGGUGCCCUUGACUGGGUGUCUCGGGUGGCCGGAACGUUUACUUUGAAAAAUUAGAGUGUUCAAAGCAGGCGGUUCGCCUGAAUAAUGGUGCAUGGAAUAAUGGAUAAGGAUCUCUGUUCUAUUUUGUUGGUUUUCGGAACUAGAGGUAAUGAUUAAGAGGGACGGACGGGGGCGAUCGUAUUACGGUGUUAGAGGUGAAAUUACUUGGAUCGCCGUAAGACGAACUAACUGCGAAAGACAUUUGUCCAAGAAAUGUUUUCUAUUAAUUCAAGAACGAAAGU